GAUGAACGCUGGCGGCGUGCCUAAUACAUGCAAGUCGAGCGAACAGACGAGAAGCUUGCUCCUCUGACGUUAGCGGCGGACGGGUGAGUAACACGUGGAUAACCUACCUAUAAGACUGGGAUAACUUCGGGAAACCGGAGCUAAUACCGGAUAAUAUAUUGAACCGCAUGGUUCAAUAGUGAAAGACGGUUUUGCUGUCACUUAUAGAUGGAUCCGCGCUGCAUUAGCUAGUUGGUAAGGUAACGGCUUACCAAGGCAACGAUGCGUAGCCGACCUGAGAGGGUGAUCGGCCACACUGGAACUGAGACACGGUCCAGACUCCUACGGGAGGCAGCAGUAGGGAAUCUUCCGCAAUGGGCGAAAGCCUGACGGAGCAACGCCGCGUGAGUGAUGAAGGUCUUCGGAUCGUAAAACUCUGUUAUUAGGGAAGAACAAAUGUGUAAGUAACUAUGCACAUCUUGACGGUACCUAAUCAGAAAGCCACGGCUAACUACGUG
rnacentral:rRNA from 1 species